ACCAGCGUGAAACUCAAAAAACUUGACGGUAUCUCACACCUACCUAGAGGAGCCUGUUCUAUAAUCGAUAACCCACGCUAAACCUCUCCCACACUUGUACCCUCAGCCUAUAUACCUCCGUCGCCAGCCCGCCUGACAACAGACACCAAGCGAGUACAACAGCCUGACCCCUAACACGACAGGUCAAGGUGUAGCUAAUGUGUGGGCUGUAAUGGGCUACAUUUUUUAUACUAAAACAAACCCGAGUGCUAUGAAAACCGCACAAAAAGGUGGAUUUAGUAGUAA
rnacentral:rRNA from 1 species